rnacentral:rRNA from 1 species
GAACGCCCCGCAAGGGGAGUGGCGCACGGGUGAGUAACGCGUGGAUAUCUGCCUUUUGGUUCGGAAUAACCCCGGGAAACUGGGGCUAAUACCGAAUGGUUCCUACGGGAUAAAGAUUUAUCGCCAAAAGAUGAGUCCGCGUCCGAUUAGCUAGUUGGUGGGGUAACGGCCCACCAAGGCUCCGACGGGUAGCUGGUCUGAGAGGACGAUCAGCCACACUGGGACUGAGACACGGCCCAGACUCCUACGGGAGGCAGCAGUGGGGAAUCUUGCGCAAUGGGCGAAAGCCUGACGCAGCAACGCCGCGUGAGGGACGAAGGCCUUCUGGGUUGUAAACCUCUUUCAGCAGGGACGAUUAUGACGGUACCUGCAGAAGAAGCCCCGGCCAACUACGUG